rnacentral:rRNA from 1 species
AUGAAACACUCCUACGGGAGGCAGCAGUGGGGAAUAUUGGACAAUGGGCGCAAGCCUGAUCCAGCCAUGCCGCGUGAGUGAUGAAGGCCUUAGGGUUGUAAAGCUCUUUUGUCCGGGAAGAUAAUGACUGUACCGGAAGAAUAAGCCCCGGCUAACUUCGUGCCAGCAGCCGCGGUAAUACGAAGGGGGCUAGCGUUGCUCGGAAUCACUGGGCGUAAAGGGCGCGUAGGCGGACUCUUAAGUCGGGGGUGAAAGCCCAGGGCUCAACCCUGGAAUAGCCUUCGAUACUGAGAGUCUUGAGUUCGGAAGAGGUUGGUGGAAUUGCGAGUGUAGAGGUGAAAUUCGUAGAUAUUCGCAAGAACACCAGUGGCGAAGGCGGCCAACUGGUCCGAUACUGACGCUGAGGCGCGAAAGCGUGGGGAGCAAACAGGAUUAGAAACCCUUGUAGUCCGAAGUUC